rnacentral:lncRNA from 1 species
GCGAGACUUAAAAGCGACGGUUAAAGGACCGGGUGGCCGGUGGGAUGAGGAUGUCUUCAUCCGAAAAAUCUUGUUUCCUGUAUGACAGUAAGAAAAAAAGUUUACGAUUUUUAAGGCGCACAAGGCCUGGGAAUAAAACUAAUUAACAGAUGCAGCAUCAGUCCAAGAGAGCCUGGAUUACAUCAUUCCGUGGGCUGUGGGCACUAUGCCUGUGCUCCUGUCAGAAGCUGCUGUGGUCCUGAAACGCUGCACAAGGAGAAUUUGUGCCUUUUAAAUCUUGGGUUCUGGGGAUUAUGCCAGGGCUGGUUACACAGCAGGAAAAAGCCAGACCCAUGAUGUCAUUCAACAUAUCUUCUCCCAGAGACUAGAUACACUUGUGAGCUAGAUUUGGACUUUUAUACUUGCUUCAUGGGCAUAGGUGUUCUGUUUUGCUUUGUUUUGUUUUAAGCCUCAAAUUACCCCUUAUCCCAUGGCCCUGGUUUUAGUAAAUGUCCUUGUACGGUUCUGAUGUUUCAGCUUGAGGCUGUCGAUAACAAACAAUAGUAGCUUCAUAAGGAACCAAAGUGCACUGCUGUUGUUUACUGACUCAUUUUGCAUCUCACAGAAAAUGUAAUGGAUGAUAGUGACAGGCUGCUUUUACCUGCCAUAGCUCCAGAAGAGGAGGACUUUAAUCUCAGCUGUAGAAACUGUUAGUUAGCUCUUCCUGUGGAAACUCCAGACCCCCACCAUCACUGCCACGCCUCCCCCACCUUCCUCAUCCACCCUUUAGCCCCCCCAAAAUAGGUUGUUAAUGAGAGAGCCUCUCAAUUAGGGGAAUGAAGAAUGCUCUGGUUGAUUUUUUUUUUCUGGAAUAAAUUUGAGUUAAUCUAAG